UACGUAGGGUGCGAGCGUUGUCCGGAAUUAUUGGGCGUAAAGAGCUCGUAGGCGGUUUGUCGCGUCGGCCGUGAAAACUUGGGGCUUAACCCCAAGCCUGCGGUCGAUACGGGCAGACUUGAGUUCGGCAGGGGAGACUGGAAUUCCCGGUGUAGUGGUGAUAUGCGUAGAUAUCAGGAAGAACACCUAUGGCGAAGGCAGCUCUCUGGGACGGUACUGACGCUGAGACGCGAAAGCGUGGGGAGCGAACAGG
rnacentral:rRNA from 1 species